rnacentral:lncRNA from 1 species
GAUUGACUGCCCACUGGUGUCUGGAAGAGCAGCCUCUAUAUGGACACGUCUCUCCAGCCAAAGGCUGGGGCAGGACAGGGGAGCCCAAGGAAUAGUGAUGUCUGGUUCAGAGCAGUCCUUGGCCAGUCAGCUGGCCUUAGUAGUGCUCCAGGUGUGUCUGUUUGGUAGAGCUGCCAGUCCUGUCAGGCUGCUUUCUGCAGCAUCAAGAGCCAUAUUCUGGAAAUGCCUCUGGGCCUGCCUGUCUGACUGCCGGCUCAGUCCUAUAGCUGGGAGCCCUGACCGCACCUGCUCAUGGCUCAGUGAACAUCUUG